AGCUAGUAGGUAGGCAUGGCUCACCUAGGCGACGAUCCGUAACUGGUCUGAGAGGAUGAUCAGUCACACUGGAACUGAGACACCUCCUCAGACUCCUACGGGAGGCAGCAGUGGGGAAUAUUGGACAAUGGGCGAAAGCCUGAUCCAGCCAUGCCGCGUGUGUGAAGAAGGUCUUCGGAUUGUAAAGCACUUUAAGUUGGGAGGAAGGGCAGUAAGUUAAUACCUUGCUGUUUUGACGUUACCAACAGAAUAAGCACCGGCUAACUUCGUGCCAGCAGCCGCGGUAAUACGAAGGGUGCAAGCGUUAAUCGGAAUUACUGGGCGUAAAGCGCGCGUAGGUGGUUCAGCAAGUUGGAGGUGAAAUCCCCGGGCUCAACCUGGGAACUGCCUCCAAAACUACUGAGCUAGAGUACGGUAGAGGGUAGUGGAAUUUCCUGUGUAGCGGUGAAAUGCGUAGAUAUAGGAAGGAACACCAGUG
rnacentral:rRNA from 1 species